rnacentral:rRNA from 1 species
AGCAGCCGCGGUAAUUCCAGCUCCAAUAGCGUAUAUUAAAGUUGUUGCAGUUAAAAAGCUCGUAGUUGAAUUUCGGGAUCAAUUAGUCGGUCGUGCCUCUGGUACGUACUGGUUUUAUUGGUUCCUCCCUUCUGACGAAACAUGAUGUCAUUAAUUUGGUGUCGUGGAGAAUCAGGACUGUUACCUUGAAAAAAUUAGAGUGUUUAUAGCAGGCUAACGCUUGAAUACAUUAGCAUGGAAUAAUGAAAUAGGACGUUCGACCCUAUUUUGUUGGUUUCUAGGAUCGACGUAAUGAUUAAUAGGGAUAGUUGGGGGCAUUAGUAUUCAAUUGUCAGAGGUGAAAUUCUUGGAUUUAUUGAAGACUAACUACUGCGAAAGCAUUUGCCAAGGAUGUUUUCAUCAAUCAAGAACGAAAGUUAGGGGAUCGAAGACGAUCAGAUACCGUCGUAG